rnacentral:rRNA from 1 species
GACAGAGGGGGCAAGCGUUGCUCGGAAUACUGGGCGUAAAGCGUGCGCAGGCGGUUUUGUAAGCCAGAUGUGAAAUCCCCGGGCUCAACCUGGGAAUGGCAUUUGGGACUGCAAGGCUGGAGUUUGGCAGAGGAGACUGGAAUUCCCGGUGUAGCAGUGAAAUGCGUAGAUAUCGGGAGGAAUACCGAUGGCGAAGGCAGGUCUCUGGCUAGUAACUGACGCUCAUGCACGAAAGCGUGGGGAGCAAACAGG